ensembl:lncRNA
UCCUUCAGUUCAAUCUGUAAAUAUUGUUCCAGAAGAUCAAACUGGGACUAGCUUUCCGAGCAGAACAGGCUUUUCCGGACGUCUGUCUGCCACAGCCUUGCGGGGAAAAAUUCAGGAUAUGCCCUGGUACCUAACCCGCUCCCAAGAGAUCUUGGGGACAGUAGCACUCAGCAACACUAUUUCAUCAACCGGCAAUAUAGCAACCACUGCAACAGAUGUGAAUCACGAUUCCAAGACGGUAUCUCCCAAGGCCACUUCAGUGCCAUCUUUGAUUGACUGGAAAGAGAAAGAUGCUGAAGUAGUCAUUGUGAAGCUAAAAGAUGGACCUGAGGAAGUGACCUCAACUCCUGUUAAAGACACUAACGUGAAACCUCCAACAUCGUCAAGCAAUCUCGACCUGAGGCAGAAAUCUUCCACAGAAGCUACCGAGUUGCACAGGCAUUUUGGGACCUGCAAGUCCGAACAGCCUCAGUCACACAAAGGUAACCCUUCAGAGAUUCAACUUGACAAUGCGUCCUCUCUAUCCUCCACAAGUCCUUCCCAUCGUGAUGCAUGUGGCUGCCAUACAGUCUAUGCCAACUGUUUCAGCGGAGAUACGGAGGACAACUGCAGCUUUGAUGAUGAUCUCACUGUUUACGAGUUUUCUCGUCGAAACCAGAUAAGUAAACCACCACAGCCCACCCCGGUUCCCUCCUCUGCAACCCUCUCUGGUCCCUCACCAAAUGUUCUCUCCCUACUCAGAGAUUCCCCUCGUCCCCUAUCUUCAUCCUCAGAACUCAGUCCACUCCUGGUCCCUCCCCGAGCUCUGGAAUCUCUGCCUCUAGACUGUGGACCAAUGAAUAAUCCGCUAAAUUUUUUGCAAGGCCACCGUUAUGUUACUGGUCAGAAAGGUGCAGGGCUUAAAGAUGGCUAUGCCUGUUUGCAGCGAGAUAUUGAUGAACUACUUAUGGUUUUGAAAAAAGGACCUUCUGCAGUAUACCCUCCAACCCACAAGGGGGAAUGCGAAAACGGCAAUGUGAAUGGGAAUUCGCUUUCAGAGACAGAGAGAUGCCUGGUUCAGGCGGAGGCAAGGAAAUUGGCGUCAGGAUGUCAGAGAGCCACACGGGUUGGAUGGGCACCUGACGAUGCUCUUCUGUCCCUCGGAAACAGCUUUGGAGCUCUAGUGCAACUUACCUCAACCUGCAUGCGAGUUCCUUGUUCGGACUGCGGAGGCUGUCAUGGGGAUAUUGAUGCAGAUGAGGCCCUGAGGAAGCUUGAGGAGAUUGUGGACCUGUAUAAGGAGUUUGUAGGUGCUGUAGAGACAGCGAGAGAGGGCGAAGGUGUCAGGCUCUUAGCCAAGCAGUGUACUGUUCUCAUUUCAACCGUCUUUUCACUAACACAACUGUUUCGGACACGGACACCAGACAUAGACAAUGGAAAUGUACCUUUGAACUUUUGAAUUUUACCUUCCGGCACCCUCUUAAGGGAUUGUAGAGUGCGAGCAUAGAAUUGUACUUAAAGUAGCUAUGCCUUUCUGGCAUCUAAAAACUGAUUGUGUGCUGGCACACAAGAAUAAU